rnacentral:rRNA from 1 species
CUAUUAGUGGGGGACAACAUCUCGAAAGGGAUGCUAAUACCGCAUACGUCCUACGGGAGAAAGCAGGGGACCUUCGGGCCUUGCGCUAAUAGAUGAGCCUAAGUCGGAUUAGCUAGUUGGUGGGGUAAAGGCCUACCAAGGCGACGAUCUGUAGCGGGUCUGAGAGGAUGAUCCGCCACACUGGGACUGAGACACGGCCCAGACUCCUACGGGAGGCAGCAGUGGGGAAUAUUGGACAAUGGGGGGAACCCUGAUCCAGCCAUGCCGCGUGUGUGAAGAAGGCCUUUUGGUUGUAAAGCACUUUAAGCGAGGAGGAGGCUACCGAGAUUAAUACUCUUGGAUAGUGGACGUUACUCGCAGAAUAAGCACCGGCUAACUCUGUGCCAGCAGCCGCGGUAAUACAGAGGGUGCAAGCGUUAAUCGGAUUUACUGGGCGUAAAGCGCGCGUAGGUGGCCAAUUAAGUCAAAUGUGAAAUCCCCGAGCUUAACUUGGGAAUUGCAUUCGAUACUGGUUGGCUAGAGUAUGGGAGAGGAUGGUAGAAUUCCAGGUGUAGCGGUGAAAUGCGUAGAGAUCUGGAGGAAUACCGAUGGCGAAGGCAGCCAUCUGGCCUAAUACUGAC